UCUGCUAUAGGCUAUAGUGUUGUUACCUCUUCUCUUAUGCUGCUAUGUUCCGUGCAAAACAGGUCUCUUCAUCUAAUGUAAUGGAUGAUAAGUUGCCACUGAAUCUGAACCUGAGUAAUUUGUCUGGUUAAAAUUUGCUUCUGACUGGGCAGCACUACUGAAAUAUUGCAAAACGUGAUAGCAAGAUCAAGGGACACUACAUUGAGCGAGCCAGCUAAGGUUAAAGUCUCGAAAGUUUUUUAGGUUGGUGACAAGCCAUCUACUUCAUUCCAAGUUUCCACCGCUGCCGCGCCUGCUCGCGGUUCCCAGGCCUCCGGUGCCCCUCACCGUUGUUUAUAGUAACAGAUAUUGAUUCUUGACAAAGGAAUUGUAGGAUAUUGAGAUUGAUGAUAGUAUAUAUGUUUAGUUUCUAUGUAACCAUUAUAUAUUAAUAUUUUGUAUGUUGUUGCAACCCAUCCCCACUCUUAGACCCUUAUUAAUGUGAACAACAUCGAGGAAUAGAUGCGUACGAAUCAGGCUCAUGUUGUUCAGGAGGUGUAUGGGAGGAUAACGAGAUGUGUAGUGCUCUUUAAGUGUGCAAGUGCAUCUAUGGAUUGUAUGGUUCUUUGGUUUUUGUUGUUCGCUGAGGUGCAAAGUAGGAAGAAAAUGUGGCCCUAACCUUG